ensembl:lncRNA
AAAACCCACAAAACGCCCCAAAUUACCCCAAAAGAUCCAGCUGUGGUGAUUGAGACCCCAUAUCCUGAUGUUAAAGGACCUCAGAGCAGAGAUCAGAGUGUGGAGGUGGAAAACGAUACAGAUGUUGAGGAUGAAGAGCUGAAUCCAGAUGUUCCCCACCCGAAAACCCACAAAACGCCCCAAACUGCCCCAAAAGAUCCAGCUGUGGUCACAGAGACCCCCCAUCCUGACCUUAAAGGGCCUCAGAGCAGAGAUCGGAGCAUGGAGGUCGACAGCGACACCGACGUUGAGGGAGAAGAGCUGAGUCCAGAUGUUCCCCACCCGAAAAGCCACGAAACGCCCCAAAUUCCCCCGCGGGAUCCAGCUGUGGAGACGGAGACCCCAGAUCCAGAUGUUGCCGGCCUCGGUGGUGGCAGAGCUUCCAAUGCAGUCGAGCUCGGUGGUCUGGAAGCCCCCAACCCCCCCGAGCCGACGCUGGGUGUCAGGGAUUUGGACGCCGAGGGUGCUGCUGCUCCAGAUGUUGCUCCAGGUGUUGCUCCAGAUGUUGCUCCAGAUGUGUCCCCUCCCCUGAGCCCUCGGGGCGGCGGUGACACCGAUGCGGAGGAGGUGGCCCCCACUCCCCAAAUUCGGAGCCUCCGGAGCCGGAUCCGACCCCGAAAUCCAGAUGUUGGGAACACCGCGACGGGCGGCGGUACCCACGUGGGGCAGACGGAGCCAAAAGCGGGACGCAGCAACGCAGCGGGGAGACCUCGAAGAACGGGGACGGGGAUCCAGCUGUGGCUGCGGCCCCAAAACCUCCGGAUCCGGCCCCAAAUUUGGGCCUGGCUGCUUGGGGACAGCAUCGCCCCGACGGGGACACGGAUGUGGCGGAGAGUGACCCCGAGGCUGAGGGUGAGUGGGGUGGCCCUUCUUGUCACUUUGGUUCUCUCCUUGUCACCCGGGUCCCCUCCCUGGUGAUCGCCUGGGUCCCCUUCCAGGCACCGUCAUCCCCAUCCCUGCUCCCAUGGGUCCGCUCCCUGGUCACCUGGGGCCUUUCUUUGUCACCUGGAUCCCUGCCCUGGUCACCUGGGGCCUUUCUUUGUCACCUGGAUCCCUGCCCU